GGUUUUAUAGUUUAAAAUAAAACGUUAAAUUGCAAAUUUAAAGAUGAAUAAUAUCUAAGACUU
rnacentral:tRNA from 1 species